UACGUAGGGGGCAAGCGUUGUCCGGAUUUAUUGGGCGUAAAGAGCGUGUAGGCGGUCUGUUGCGUCCGCUGUGAAAACUCGGGGCUUAACCCCGAGCCUGCAGUGGAUACGGGCAGACUAGAGGUAGGUAGGGGAGAAUGGAAUUCCCGGUGUAGCGGUGAAAUGCGCAGAUAUCGGGAGGAACACCGGUGGCGAAGGCGGUUCUCUGGGCCUUACCUGACGCUGAGGAGCGAAAGCGUGGGGAGCGAACAGG
rnacentral:rRNA from 1 species